AAGCUCGUAGUUGAAUUUCGGGUUAGUAGGUUGGUCAUGCCUCUGGUAUGUACUGGUCUCACUGAUUCCUCCUUCCUGAUGAACCGUAAUGCCAUUAAUUUGGUGUUGCGGGGAAUUUGGACUGUUACUUUGAAAAAAUUAGAGUGUUUAAAGCAAGCUAACGCUUGAAUACAUUAGCAUGGAAUAAUGAAAUAGGACGUUCGAUCCUAUUUUGUUGGUUUCUAGGAUUGACGUAAUGAUUAAUAGGGAUAGUUGGG
rnacentral:rRNA from 1 species